AGUCGAACGAUGAUGCCCAGCUUGCUGGGCGGAUUAGUGGCGAACGGGUGAGUAAUACGUGAGUAACCUGCCCUUGACUCUGGGAUAAGCCUGGGAAACUGGGUCUAAUACUGGAUACUACCUCUUGCCGCAUGGUGGGUGGUGGAAAGGGUUUUACUGGUUUUGGAUGGGCUCACGGCCUAUCAGCUUGUUGGUGGGGUAAUGGCUCACCAAGGCGACGACGGGUAGCCGGCCUGAGAGGGUGACCGGCCACACUGGGACUGAGACACGGCCCAGACUCCUACGGGAGGCAGCAGUGGGGAAUAUUGCACAAUGGGCGGAAGCCUGAUGCAGCGACGCCGCGUGAGGGAUGACGGCCUUCGGGUUGUAAACCUCUUUCAGUAGGGAAGAAGCGAGAGUGACGGUACCUGCAGAAGAAGCGCCGGCUAACUACGUGCCAGCAGCCGCGGUAAUACGUAGGGCGCAAGCGUUGUCCGGAAUUAUUGGGCGUAAAGAGCUCGUAGGCGGUUUGUCGCGUCUGCUGUGAAAGCCCGGGGCUCAACCCCGGGUCUGCAGUGGGUACGGGCAGACUAGAGUGCAGUAGGGGAGACUGGAAUUCCUGGUGUAGCGGUGAAAUGCGCAGAUAUC
rnacentral:rRNA from 1 species